GACGUAGGGGGCCAGCGUUGCUCGGAAUUACUGGGCGUAAAGGGUUCGUAGGCGGUGUGGCAAGUCGGGAGUGAAAUCUCUGGGCUUAACUCAGAGGCUGCUUCCGAAACUGCCGUGCUAGAGUGCGGGAGAGGCGAGUGGAAUUGCAGGUGUAGCGGUGAAAUGCGUAGAUAUCGGGAGGAACACCUGUGGCGAAAGCGGCGCACUGGACCAUAACUGACGCUGAUGCGCGAAAGCUAGGGGAGCAAACAGG
rnacentral:rRNA from 1 species